rnacentral:rRNA from 1 species
GGGGUAUGAACGAUUUAUCGUUCUAAGUGAGUGACGUCACACUGCCAAGAAAAGCUUCUAGUUAGAAUCAGACCGCCCGUACCGCAAACCGACACAGGUAGUCGGGUCGAGAAGACCAAGGUGAGCGAGAGAACUCUCGUUAAGGAACUCGGCAAAAUGACCCCGUAACUUCGGGAGAAGGGGUGCUGAUCGCAAGAUCAGCCGCAGUGAAUAGGCCCAGGCGACUGUUUAUCAAAAACACAGGUUUCUGCAAAAUCGUAAGAUGAAGUAUAGGGGCUGACGCCUGCCCGGUGCUGGAAGGUUAAGAGGAUGGGUUAGCGUAAGCGAAGCUCAGAAUUGAAGCCCCAGUAAACGGCGGCCGUAACCAUAACGGUCCUAAGGUAGCGAAAUUCCUUGUCGGGUAAGUUCCGACCCGCACGAAAGGCGUAACGAUCUGGGCACUGUCUCAACGAGAGACUCGGUGAAAUUAUAAUACCCGUGAAGAUGCGGGUUACCCGCGACAGGACGGAAAGACCCCAUGGAGCUUUACUGUAGCUUGAUAUUGGGUGUUUGUACAACUUGUACAGGAUAGGUAGGAGCCGUAGAAGUCGGGACGCUAGUUUCGACGGAGGCAUCGGUGGGAUACUACCCUCGUUGUAUGAACACUCUAACCCACGCCGGCAAUCACGGCGGGAGACAGUGUCAGGUGGGCAGUUUGACUGGGGCGGUCGCCUCCUAAAAGGUAACGGAGGCGCCCAAAGGUUCCCUCAGAAUGGUUGGAAAUCAUUCGCAGAGUGUAAAGGCAUAAGGGAGCUUGACUGCGAGACCUACAAGUCGAGCAGGGACGAAAGUCGGGCUUAGUGAUCCGGUGGUUCCGCAUGGAAGGGCCAUCGCUCAACGGAUAAAAGCUACCCUGGGGAUAACAGGCUUAUCUCCCCCAAGAGUCCACAUCGACGGGGAGGUUUGGCACCUCGAUGUCGGCUCAUCGCAUCCUGGGGCUGUAGUCGGUCCCAAGGGUUGGGCUGUUCGCCCAUUAAAGCGGUACGCGAGCUGGGUUCAGAACGUCGUGAGACAGUUCGGUCCCUAUCCGUCGCGGGCGCAGGAAAUUUGAGAGGAUCUGUCCUUAGUACGAGAGGACCGGGAUGGACAUACCGCUGGUGUACCAGUUGUUCUGCCAAGGGCAUCGCUGGGUAGCUAUGUAUGAAUGAGAUAAACGCUGAAAGCAUCUAAGUGCGAAACUCACCUCGAGAUAAGAUUUCCCACUCCUUUAUGGAGUUAAGACCCCUGAGAGAUGAUCAGGUAGAUAGGAUGGAAGUGGAAGUGCGGCGACGCAUGGAGCGGACCAUUACUAAUCGGUCGAGGACUUAACC